rnacentral:rRNA from 1 species
GCAUAUCAAUAAGCGGAGGAAAAGAAACUAACAAGGAUUCCCCUAGUAGCGGCGAGCGAAGCGGGAAGAGCUCAAAUUUAUAAUCUGGCACCUUCGGUGUCCGAGUUGUAAUCUCUAGAAAUGUUUUCCGCGUUGGACCGCACACAAGUCUGUUGGAAUACAGCGGCAUAGUGGUGAGACCCCCGUAUAUGGUGCGGACGCCCAGCGCUUUGUGAUACAUUUUCGAAGAGUCGAGUUGUUUGGGAAUGCAGCUCAAAUUGGGUGGUAAAUUCCAUCUAAAGCUAAAUAUUGGCGAGAGACCGAUAGCGAACAAGUACCGUGAGGGAAAGAUGAAAAGCACUUUGGAAAGAGAGUUAACAGUACGUGAAAUUGUUGGAAGGGAAACGCUUGAAGUCAGACUUGCUUGCCGAGCAAUCGGUUUGCAGGCCAGCAUCAGUUUUCCGGGAUGGAUAAUGGUAGAGAGAAGGUAGCAGUUUCGGCUGUGUUAUAGCUCUCUGCUGGAUACAUCUUGGGGGACUGAGGAACGCAGUGUGCCUUUGGCGGGGGUUUCGACCUCUUCACACUUAGGAUGCUGGUGGAAUGGCUUUAAACGACCCGUCUUGAAACACGGACCAAGGAGUCUAACAUGCUUGCGAGUAUUUGGGUGUCAAACCCGGAUGCGUAAUGAAAGUGAAUGGAGGUGGGAACCGCAAGGUGCACCAUCGACCGAUCUGGAUUUUUAAUGAUGGAUUUGAGUAAGAGCACGUAUGUUGGGACCCGAAAGAUGGUGAACUAUGCCUGAAUAGGGCGAAGCCAGAGGAAACUCUGGUGGAGGCUCGUAGCGGUUCUGACGUGCAAAUCGAUCGUCAAAUUUGGGUAUAGGGGCGAAAGACUAAUCGAACCAUCUAGUAGCUGGUUCCUGCCGAAGUU